rnacentral:misc_RNA from 1 species
AAGAGUUAAAAAUGUCAACAAUUUAUAGUGUUGCAACAAGAGUAAAUGAGCAAUAUGUUAUUUCACCAUUGUCACUCCCAGUAUACACCACCAUAGCAAUGCAAUUCUAAAGUAGGUAACUGCACCGAAAUGUCUUCACAAGAGACCUAAUUGUCAAAUCUGAAAAGCUAAUUCAAGAAGAUCUCAAAGUGCCUGUAAAUCUUCCUUAUAUUUAUAUACAUGAUGAUAAAGCACGACUGCACUGACUGACUGCACUGACUCUCUAAAUUAUCUAAGUCCUACCAGGCAAUGCAUGUGCCGAACCCUUGCAUAGCAUGUGAUUUGCCCAGUACGCAAAGUAGAUCACUGCAAUACAUGACAAGAGCAUAAAAACACAUUGAACUGCCUUUGUACACACAUAAUUGCUAAAAAUUCUAAUUCUAACCAGGCAAAAUUCUAAUGUUCACACCAUGGUGAUUUGCAAAUAAAUAAUAUUAUGUCAUGAAAUUCUACAUAUAAUCUACUUCUGUCCAAUGGUCUAGAAAGAAUUUUCAUGCCAAUUUGAAAUCAUAUGUAGCACCCAUGAAAUUACUCCCUGUAAGGAAGAUUGCUCUUGAAAAACACACAAGUAGACUUCCGUAAGAGUAUGGUCUCUUAUUUUGUUGGUUAUUUCACCCCCAGUAUAGCAGUAAAAACCCUUGUCAUCUCUGAAACAGGAUCCUUGUCAACACCUGAUUUCACACACCAAGCAAUGUGCUCAUCUGGCCUCACUAAAAUUGCUCCUUUGUCAGUCAUCUGACAAAUACUCCACCAUGAUGAUGGAUUUGAUGGUUUCCUAACCUCCACAACAUCUAUAUAGUUUUUCCAUGGUGUCAAUGCUUUCUUACUCCUUGCUUCAAAUUCAUCAAGAGAGUCAGCAGGCCACAAUACACAAACUUUAACAGAAACUUUGAAUUCCUCAGCCACCUUGAAUGCAGCACGAGCAAGUUGGUAGGACUCUUCGAGUGGAGCUACAAUGAGAAGGAAUUCAACUCUGUCCCCACACAAAAGAUCAAGUGUAGAAACAGUCACCUCACUUGAUAAAUUUGAUGAUAUCCGCACAUCCAUAUGGGGCAGCCUUGACCCUGGGUUUGCAGAAGGAAUAUAGUCCCUCCGACGACCAGUAGGAGGUUCCAGAACACCCACCAUGCUAUCAUUAUCAGGAAUAACUGCUCCUUCAUGGUACCUGAAACCAAGAUCCUCAGCAGGAAACUGGAGCUGAAGGCUCUUUCCUUCUUCAAAUAUACGCCUUACUUUGGCAAGCCUUGAAGAGCCAAGUGGGUUUUUUUCAUUUAGUAGAGAUUCAGAGAGCUGUGCACGACCUAUUGUGAAAAUCCCAUCCAAAAUUGCCUUUUGUAUACCAGAUGGUAAAAUGGAGGCAACCCCAUCAUUAAUAACUUGAUGCACAGAAUUUGCAAUAGAUGGAUCAAGACCAAGUGCAGCAGGAACUGCCAUGGCUGCUUUAAAGUUUUGGACGCUAAGUGCUGUAUUAAAAAUUGCAAUCGGUCUACGUUCCAUUUCAUAAGUACGGAUUAUUGAAGAUGGUGCAAUACCCUUCAUGACAGAAGCUAUUUUCCAGGCAAGAUUAUGAACAUCCUGAAUGCCAGUAUUCAUUCCAAAACCACCAGCUGGAGGAAACCGAUGAGCAGCAUCACCUGCGAGUAUUAUUCGAUUGUCACAGUUCACAAACUUCUCAGCAACUUCAGCAUGCAUCACCCAUGGCUUAAUUUCAAUUACAUCAAUGUCCAAAAGCUCUCGACCAACCAAUUUGAAAAUUAAUUUCUCGCAUAUCUACAAGAAGUUGAGCCCUUCAAAGAAACAAUUACUUAAGUGGUGAAGAUGUCUGUGUUUACACGCUAAAACUUAUGAUUACACAUUAAUUUCACAGCAUCUUUAGUAUAUAAAGCGCCAUACAGCUAUGACUUUCUUAUUGUCAACCUAAAUUCAGUACUUUUUUCUUAAUCACACUAAGGAAACUACUGAGAAGGUAAAUGAAGAUUAUCUUAAAUUCAGAAAGCCUAUCAAUGUUAAAGAAAAAUACCUCUAGGUUAAAAUCAUCCACAUUCUGCUGAGGAGGAUAAAAGGGAACCUGCAAAAUGAAUUCUCCUUGCUUGAGAUCAUGUGCAACAAGGACCCCAAUAGCUUCAGUGUUGAAAAUAAAGAACAACAUUCCAGGUCUCUCGUUGAGCAAGUACUGACCAAGGUCUCUGCUAAAAAAAUGAAUGCUAAGAAGCCUUUGCAGGUCUUUUUCACCUCUCAGCUCUAUCCCUACAAGGUUCCGAAUGGUACUUCCAGCACCAUCUGUACCAACAAGAAUACUGCAAUCGAUAUUUCUCUCCAUGUACUUCCCUUCCACAAUAUGAGAGGCAGUUGCAGUUAUAGACUGAUCAGUGGCAUUGAUUGAUAUACAUUCAUGCCCCAUCAAUAAUUCUCCUCCCUUUAGGGGGCCACUAUCAAGGUCUUCCUGGCUUUCAGGUCCAUGAACAUGGAAGUUGAGAUCUUCUAGCUUCUUAAGCAAUAACCUACUUAAUUUAUACUGUGAAAAGUGCGCAACAGAUACUGGGCUGAUGACUUUUUCAAAAUCUUGAGGUUGCAUGUGAUCAACUGAGCCAAUAAUUGAACCAGUUAGUGAAGUACAAUAUAUGAACUUCCUCCACAAUUCUACUGGUGGUUGUGAGCUCCGGAUCUCCUCUGCAAGGCCAUCCAACUUGCGAAACACCUCCAUAGACCGGUUGUUGAUAAAAUGUGCUUGGGGGUGGCUUGAAAAUGCCUUGCUUUUCUCCAAAAUGGCACAUUUGACCCCUAAUUUGGUUAGAAGUAUAGAGAGAACGAGACCCACAGGUCCUGCACCAACGAUCAAGACUGGAAGUAUUGAAUCAUCAGCAUUGACAUUAUAGGAGUGCGAUGAUGCUCUGCUUUUAUAAUAGCCAAAUGGGUAUGGUUUGAUUCUGGGUUUAUUUCUGUAGAAACCACUAAACCCUUUGAUAAACCCUGAAAAACCCAUGAACCCAGAUAUGGAAAAGCCGCACACUUCACAGGUUGAUCAUGAUUCCCUGAAAAUUUAACAAAAGCGAAAGCCUAUACAGGGCUUCUUG